rnacentral:rRNA from 1 species
AGUGAACGCUGGCGGUAGGCCUAACACAUGCAAGUCGAACGGCAGCACAGUAAGAGCUUGCUCUUACGGGUGGCGAGUGGCGGACGGGUGAGGAAUACAUCGGAAUCUGCUUUUUCGUGGGGGAUAACGUAGGGAAACUUACGCUAAUACCGCAUACGACCUACGGGUGAAAGCAGGGGAUCUUCGGACCUUGCGCGAUUGAAUGAGCCGAUGUCGGAUUAGCUAGUUGGCGGGGUAAAGGCCCACCAAGGCGACGAUCCGUAGCUGGUCUGAGAGGAUGACCAGCCACACUGGAACUGAGACACGGUCCAGACUCCUACGGGAGGCAGCAGUGGGGAAUAUUGGACAAUGGGCGCAAGCCUGAUCCAGCCAUACCGCGUGGGUGAAGAAGGCCUUCGGGUUGUAAAGCCCUUUUGUUGGGAAAGAAAAGCAGCAGGUUAAUACCCCGCCGUUCUGACGGUACCCAAAGAAUAAGCACCGGCUAACUUCGUG